rnacentral:tRNA from 1 species
GAGGUUGUGGCUCAGCGGUAGAGUGCUUGCCUAGAGCAUGCAAGGCACUGAGUUCUAUCCUCAGCACCUCA